rnacentral:rRNA from 1 species
UACGGGGGGGGCAAGCGUUGUUCGGAAUUACUGGGCGUAAAGGGCUCGUAGGUGGCCAACUAAGUCAGACGUGAAAUCCCCAGGCUCAACUUGGGAACUGCGUCUGAUACUGGAUGGCUUGAAUUCGGGAGAGGGAUGCAGGAUUCCAGGUGUAGCGGUGAAAUGCGUAGAUAUCUGGAGGAAUACCGGUGGCGAAGGCGGCAUCCUGGACCGAGAUUGACGCUGAAGCACGAAAGCGUGGGGAGCAAACAGG